ACGGAGUUGUACCACUACUAUCAGGCCAAGAAAUAGAACAUUACCAGUACCCUGGAAAUGAGAUCCUGCUCCUCUAUGGUUAUUACACGCCUUUAAAGCUGCCUGUUCAGUGAGAUGGAGGAGGUGCACACUUAAGGUCAAUUCACUAAUCUAUGGUUCAGAUUUCUGAUCACAUGGAAGUUUGGAAAAGAAAGCUUAUCACAGGUUUGUAUGCUGGUGAAUGGAUAGAGUUUUAAUUUUCACUUUGGGGAGUAGCAUGUAAACCAAACAGUUGACUGAAAAGCCAGUGCAAUUUUUCACUGAAACUAAU
rnacentral:lncRNA from 1 species